AUUGAACGCUGGCGGCAUGCCUUACACAUGCAAGUCGAACGGCAGCACGGGAGCAAUCCUGGUGGCGAGUGGCGAACGGGUGAGUAAAGUAUCGGAACGUGCCCAGUCGUGGGGGAUAACGUAGCGAAAGUUACGCUAAUACCGCAUACGAUCUAUGGAUGAAAGCGGGGGAUCGCAAGACCUCGCGCGAUUGGAGCGGCCGAUAUCAGUUUAGGUAGUUGGUGGGGUAAGGGAUCACCAAGCCGACGAUCUGUAGCUGGUCUGAGAGGACGACCAGCCACACUGGGACUGAGACACGGCCCAGACUCCUACGGGAGGCAGCAGUGGGGAAUUUUGGACAAUGGGCGAAAGCCUGAUCCAGCCAUGCCGCGUGCAGGAUGAAGGCCUUCGGGUUGUAAACUGCUUUUGUACGGAACGAAAAGGUUUGGCCUAAUAAGCUGAGCUCAUGACGGUACCGUAAGAAUAGGCACCGGCUAACUACGUGCCAGCCGCCGCCGUAA
rnacentral:rRNA from 1 species